GAUGAACGCUGGCGGCGUGCCUAAUACAUGCAAGUCGAGCGAACAGAUAAGGAUCUUGCUCUUUUGACGUUAGCGGCGGACGGGUGAGUAACACGUGGGUAACCUACCUAUAAGACUUGGAUAACUUCGGGAAACCGGAGCUAAUACCGGAUAAUAUUUCGAACCGCAUGGUUCGAUAGUGAAUGAUGUUUUUGCUAUCACUUAUAGAUGGACCCGUGACGUAUUAGUUAGUUGGUAAGGUAACGGCUUACCAAGGCGACGAUACGUAGCCGACCUGAGAGGGGGAAGGGGCACACUGGGACUGAAACACGGUCCAGAGUCCUAGGGGAGGCAGCAGUAGGGAAUGGUGGGAGAUGGGCGGAAGACUGAAGAAGCAACGCCGCGUGAGUGAUGAAGGGCUUCGGAUCGUAUAACUCUGUUAUUAGGGAAGAACAUACGUGUAAGUAACUGUGCACGUCGUGACGGUACCUAGACAGAAAGCCACGGCUAACUACGUG
rnacentral:rRNA from 1 species